rnacentral:rRNA from 1 species
GGUCGAUAGUCUUUCGCCCCAUGCGCAGAUUUGACGAUCGAUUUGCACGUCAGAACCGCUGCGAGCCUCCACCAGAGUUUCCUCUGGCUUCACCCUAUCCACGCAUAGUUCACCAUCUUUCGGGUCCGAACAGUUAUGCUCUUACUCAAAUCCAUCCGAAGACAUCAGGAUCGGUCGAUGAUGCACCCGUAAGGGCUCCCACCUCCGUUCACUUUCAUUACGCUUGAGGGUUUAACACCCAAAAACUCGCAUAAAUGUUCGACUCCUUGGUCCGUGUUUCAAGACGGGUGGCUGAUGACCAUUAUGCCAGCAUCCUAGCCGAAGCGCGGUCCUCAGUCCCAGCGGCGGUAUUACACAGCAGGCUAUAACACUCCCGGGGGAGUCACGUUCCUGAAGUCUUUAUCCCGCCGCCGAAACUGAUGCUGGCCUCAACCAAGCGGAGUGCACCGGUGAGAACACCGGAUGAUCCGCAAGGCAAAGGUCUGGUCACAAGCCCUUCCCUUUCAACAAUUUCACGUACUAUUUAACCCUCUUUUCAAAGUGCUUUUCAUCUUUCGAUCACUCUACUUGUGCGCUAUCGGUCUCUGGCCGGUAUUUAGCUUUAGAAGAAAUUUACCUCCCAUUUAGAGCAGCAUUCCCAAACUACUCGACUCGUCGAAGGAGAUUUACAGAGGCUCGGCAUCCAACCGUACGGGGCUCUCACCCUCUAAGGCGUCCUGUUCCAAGGAACUCGGAAGGUACCUAACCAAAAUCAUCCUCUACAAAUUACAACUCGGACCCGAGGGCCAGAUUUCAAAUUUGAGCUGUUGCCGCUUCACUCGCCGUUACUAGGGCAUCCCUGU